rnacentral:rRNA from 1 species
AUACGUAGGUUGCAAGCGUUGUCCGGAUUUACUGGGUGUAAAGGGCGCGUAGGCGGGAAUGCAAGUCAGAUGUGAAAUCUCCGGGCUUAACCCGGAAACUGCAUUUGAAACUGCAUUUCUUGAGUGUCGGAGAGGUAGAUGGAAUUCCUAGUGUAGCGGUGAAAUGCGUAGAUAUUAGGAGGAACACCAGUGGCGAAGGCGACUUACUGGACUGUAACUGACGCUGAGUCACGAAAGCGUGGGUAGC